GGGGGGGGCAAGCGUUGUUCGGAAUUACUGGGCGUAAAGGGCUCGUAGGUGGCCAACUCAGUCGGACGUGAAAUCCCUCGGCUUAACCGGGGAACUGCGUCCGAUACUGGCUGGCUUGAGAUCGGGAGAGGGAUGCGGAAUUCCAGGUGUAGCGGUGAAAUGCGUAGAUAUCUGGAGGAACACCGGUGGCGAAGGCGGCAUCCUGGACCGACACUGACACUGAGGAGCGAAAGCCAGGGGAGCAAACGGGAUUAGAUACCCCGGUAGUCCUGGCCCUAAACGAUGAAUGCUUGGUGUGACGGGUAUCGAUCCCUGUCGUGCCGAAGCUAACGCAUUAAGCAUUCCGCCUGGGGAGUACGGUCGCAAGGCUGAA
rnacentral:rRNA from 1 species